UAGCUACGUCUAUGGCGCAUGUCUAUGG
rnacentral:sRNA from 1 species